rnacentral:lncRNA from 1 species
UUGAAAAACAUCAACGAAUUGUAAAACAAACAAGCAAUGAUACGAACAACUCAUUAGCAACUUUGAUGUGCCACUAAAAUUUCAACUGAACCAGUACUUUUGAUAUAGAACAUAAAUAUACAUGAGAAAACCACUAAAAAUUUAAUAAAUAUUAGCUUCUGAACCCUUAAAUUUAGAUGUAUAAUGAGUUUAGAGCAAAGAACCUUAUAGGCUGAACGAAUUGAGUUUAAAACCUGGAUCCGACUCUGAUACCCACCUCAUCUUCGUCACGAAAAUCCUCCAUCUCUUCGACUCUUCUCCAUUAACAAAGGUCUUUCUCUUUCCUUCCCCUUCCUCUCCCUCUCUAACCGCGAAAAUCCUCCAUCUCUUCGACUCUUCUCCAUUAACAAAGCCUUUUCUCUUUCCUUCUCCUUCCUCUCCCUCUUUAACCGCUCUUCUCGCAAUUCCUCCACCGUCUUUUUUCCUCCAUUACUC